rnacentral:rRNA from 1 species
GACAGGAGGGUGCAAACGUUUGUUCGGAAUUACUGGGCGUAAAGCGCGUGUAGGCGGUCGUGCAAGUCGGGUGUGAAAGCCCCAGGCUCAACCUGGGAAGUGCAUUCGAUACUGCGAGACUCGAGUCCCGGAGAGGAUGGUAGAAUUCUCGGUGUAGAGGUGAAAUUCGUAGAUAUCGGGAAGAAUACCGGUGGCGAAGGCGGCCAUCUGGACGGUGACUGACGCUGAGACGCGAAAGCGUGGGGAGCAACAGG